AUUGAACGCUGGCGGCAGGCUUAACACAUGCAAGUCGAGCGGGGGAAGGUAGCUUGCUACCGGACCUAGCGGCGGACGGGUGAGUAAUGCUUAGGAAUCUGCCUAUUAGUGGGGGACAACAUCUCGAAAGGGAUGCUAAUACCGCAUACGUCCAACGGGAGAAAGCAGGGGAUCUUCGGACCUUGCGCUAAUAGAUGAGCCUAAGUCGGAUUAGCUAGUUGGUGGGGUAAAGGCCUACCAAGGCGACGAUCUGUAGCGGGUCUGAGAGGAUGAUCCGCCACACUGGGACUGAGCCACGGCCCAGACUCCUACGGGAGGCAGCAGUGGGGAAUAUUGGACAAUGGGGGGAACCCUGAUCCAGCCAUGCCGCGUGUGUGAAGAAGGCCUUAUGGUUGUAAAGCACUUUAAGCGAGGAGGAGGCUACUUUAGUUAAUACCUAGAGAUAGUGGACGUUACUCGCAGAAUAAGCACCGGCUAACUCUGUGCCAGCAGCCGCGGUAACAC
rnacentral:rRNA from 1 species